AACUUGUCCAAGGACUUCUACCAAUCUAAGAAACUCUUAAAGGUGACAGGUAUGGUUGUUUCUUCACAUGUGCUUACUUUUAUGAUCGACACCAUUAUCCUACCAGUUAAUGCUGCUUGCCUUGUUGUUUAGGCAAUUUAAUUAUGCUGGCCCUAAUUCCAAACAGGACAACUAUACUAUGCAACUUGGAAUCAUUCUUAAAUGAGAACACCCCGGCAUAAUUGAGAAGAAGGAAGGUGAUGUUGUCAUUAAAACCCGCCCAGCUUUGGAGUGAUCUGAUUAUUAUGAUGAUGAUACUCUAGAUGAUAAGGGGCAGAUAGCAGCAGAUCGUGUGAAGCAAGUGUUUUGGGCAAGUUCCAAGUACUUGGGAGUUAUUUUGAAAAUCUGUAUUGCACAUGCAUAUUUGACAUGAAAAUGUGUGAACUUAUAGAACUUGUUUGAGGUUCAUGUGAAGGAUGAUGAAGACUCGGACAAGGUGGAGGAUGACGUUGAUCGUGUGUUUGACAACUAUGCAAUGAAAAAAGUGAGAGACAUGAUGUAUCAAGUUCGUGUGGAUGCUGUGAAGUUCUACUAUGAGAAGAAAGGAGAGCGGCUUGAUGGCACGUUGGCAUGUUCAAAAGAGCUUGAAUAUGGCCAAUACUUGGAAGGUGGAAUACCAUGGGUUAAGGAACAUGCAUGGCCGCAUCUUUGUGCUUAUUGGUGCUAAAAAAACGCCACGUGGCAUUCCCCAUGGGCGACUAGCAAUAGCGGAUGGGGCAAUUAAGAAGGCUGAUGUUAUCUCAACAUCUAGAGAGAAGAAACUGAGGCUGUCAACUUUAGCAUCACUUCGAUGAACUAUUCAAGAAAACGAAGAACUGAAGUGACGAGCUAUUCAAGAAAACGAAGAACUGAAGCGACAUAAUGAGUACCUGCAAAAUAAAGUGGAUAUGCAUGAACGACUCUUCUUGGUCCUUUUUAAGGAGAUGGGUAAAGAACUACCAGAGGAGCUACACCAAGGAGCAAGGUCCCAGCCACAUGGGCAUCUCAUAUUGGAACCCAAGCACUUGAUGACAACACCGGUGAUGGUGAUUCGGGUGAAGCUGUUGGCGGUGACGACUCCAACAAUCGGGAAAGCAAGACUUAGAAUGCUAGUGAUGGUAACCUGGGAAGUGCCUUUGUUGACAGAGUAUGGUAACAGGACUUUAGAAGUGAUGGUAGUGUUGGUAACACAAUAGCAUUUUGGUAGUUGCAACAAACACUAAAGCCAGGUUAUCUGUUCUAAACUAUGAUCUAUUGUUGUGAAGUAUGAUGUAUUUUGUCUGUAAUGCACUGAAGCUUAUCCUUGCAACUUGCAAGUUGAACAAUUUAUC